GUGGGGUCCGGGUGUGAGCGCCAGAUUGUUUAACGGGAUAUUCACUCUUCACAAGUAUAGACGGUUUCAGCAGCAACAACAUAAACAAACGUGAGCUCGCGUUUGGCACGAAAGUGCGUCCAUGAAUUGCAGUGUCAUCUUUCAACGUUCUCGCGCAGCGUCUCCUAUUUUCAGGAGAAACGUCUGAGACAAAGUUCAUAACUGUGUCAAAUCUCCUGAGCUGUGAUGGAGAAACCUCAGAGCAACAGAAAUUUUCCUCUGGGUGGCUUUAUUGAAGAUAGUUGGAUCACUAUAAAAGGAUUUGCUGAGAAAUGCAGCCAAGAUAAAAGAAGGGGAUGGAGCUUUGUGAGAGUGAUGGACCGUGUCUACAGGACUGCAUUGAGGACAGUGUCACCGUGACUGAUGGUUGGAGCUGUGAGAUGGGGCUGUGUUGGAGCUAGUGGAGCGUGUAAUGAACGCUAACUCACUCUCUGCUGUUUCCUCGCAUCCUCGCACGGUUCUCCUGGGCGCCAGGCACAUAACGCAAGCAGAAACUGAUGAUUUCAAAUCCCGUCUUUCCGGAAGGUUCUGCCAUUGAGACAAAAGGGAACAUUUCUUCCAGGUUUUAUAGACCUCCCUGGCUGACACGGCACCCGCCCCAGAGGUUGACAGCCCGUGGUCACCAUGAGCUACGAUUCUUUAAACCCAUCCACAGAAAACUACACACAGCUUUGGAGCAAACACGAGGUUGACAACUGAGAAACUAUGCUGAAUAGUUUGGCCCGAAAACAGAAAAUGGAGACCCAAGGACCCCCUGAUUUCAAACAUGCUUUGGGAAAGAUCCCAGGCUCUUCGCGGCAGGACUGCUGACGGUUCACACACUUCCCCCAUCCAAACCCACGGGUGAGUUUUAUGAGAGAUUUCAUUGUGUUGCUGAAGUGCUGGAGGACCCCGGCGUCAGAUGAAGACAGACCUCUGAGGACUUGCCAGAAAUGUGACGUCCAACCUUCAUUUGAGAUGUGUUUGCUUAGACAAAUGACGUUUCGGAUGGAAUUAAGAUAAUGGAAUUGAGUUUUAGGCUGGCUUGUUUAUUUAGUUUGGGUCGUGUUGAGGGGUUUGUGAUAUGACUCAUUAACCGAAUAAUUAGCUUUCCCGUCGUGUUCACGCAGAUGUGACUGAAACAUAAGCGGUUUUCGUUUGGACGCUGGAGCGCGUUCUCUAAACGUUCCAAGUUUUAACAAAGCAUCCUGAGGAAAUAACAUCCACCCCUGAAAUUGGGGGGUUGUAAAGAGAGAGUAAUUCAAAUAGGUUGUCAUGUUGACAUCGGGCUUGGCUAUAUGGUAUAGACUUGGGGGAGAGAGACUAAAUUUAGCCAACAUCUUAAACAAAUCCAUAUGAAGGAAAGACAUCUGGUUCAUGAGUAUGGUAUCCAGCAUGAAUUUCCUUGAUGUUCUAUCAGUAUUUAGAUAUAAAGAUGUUAUUUACUUAAUAUAAAUGGAGUGACAAAUGGAUUUUGUUCAUUCCUUCAAAUUCUUCGAAAUUUAC